CCUUGGAAUGUGCAACCCUCUUCCCUUCCUUAUUCCCACAGGCUGCCCCAAGGUCACAGCCUUGAAAUAAAAAGAUGGUAUUGAGGCCAUCUGGAUUAAGUAUGUGACUAAACCCAGGCAAGGUCAUCAUAGAAACUUUUUUUUAGGAUUUGGCAGACCGGGGUGGAGAUCUCCUUGUCUUGUGGCUGCCCAAGAUAAGCCACAUAUGUAAAUUCCCUUGCUUUCUACAUCCACCACCUGCUUAUCUGGAAUAGCCUGCCUCCUUCUUCAGCAUCUCCCUGAUCUCCAUUGGGAACCAGUUUCAGAUCCCACCUAAAAAACUCUCAAGAAGGUUGUAAACCAACAAAUGUAAAUAUUGUGAUAAAAGUAUACUGGCUCAGGGUGAACGCUAAAUAUUGCUCUAAGUGAGGUCACUACAAAGAAAGGAACACACUGUGUAUAUUCAGGACUAUAAUAAGGAAGUUUUUAGGGAAUCACUUAUAAAACUUCUUUAAAAAUUAUUCUAAUCUAAAAAGACCUUCUGUAAUCUAAUUUUAAAUAGAUUUCACUUACUUGUGGAGUUAGAAAUAAUUUGUCAAAGCAAAUAAUAUGAAAUGUUAAGUUCUAUACAUAAAAAAAAUGAAAUGCACUUUUGCUAGCUGCUUUUUGUAUAUAAACAGGUAACUCCUCCACUUCUGAGCCCAAAGAAAUAAGUAAAGAGAAGAAGAAGAAAAAGAACAGAUUAGGCAGCUAUGGUUUUGUGAUCCAAUGGAGCUGAAUAGUUCCUCUGUUGGAAACUUCCUUCCUGUUUGGAUCUCUGGAGCUAAAACAGGACAAUGCAAGGUGCAUCACAGAAGACUGUUGGCAUCCCACUUCAGCAACAUGGUUCUUGGCCCCAGGUGAGGUAGGGAAAUCCUAGGAUCCAAGAAAGAGAGUGUGUCUCCAUUACUGUUCUGAGGUGGGCACUACAUGCCGUGAUAAUAUGCAUAUCCUGAUCUACUUUGGAGUUCUCUCUUCAGAGCUACAGAAAGGAAGGCAUCCCUGUGUAGGUGGCUAGGCCAAAUCAAGGUGGCAUAUCAGAUAAAGGCAUUGCCUAUAUGCAAAAGAAACUGGCUGGGAGGAAAGUUGGUUGGCCAAACCACUGAAGCAUACAGUUUCUUGAGCAGUAGGAACUGGAAUCACUGGGAACCCCCAGAGACUCUAAAAGGGUAGAGGAGGAGAUGCAGGCUAAUUGGGAUUACAGUAUUUAGACUGGAGACACUUGGUGAAGAUACCAGAGAGAACUGGAACAAUAGCUCUUCACUAGUUUGAAGCUAUUUACUGAUAUAUAUUUUUUUCUGUUAUUGGAUAGGGCCCACCCAACAUUAUGGAGGGUAAUCCUUUUCUAAAAGUCAAAUAAAUGAUUACAAAUGUUAAUCA
rnacentral:lncRNA from 12 species